rnacentral:rRNA from 1 species
AUACGUAGGUGACAAGCGUUAUCCGGAUUUACUGGGCGUAAAGGGCGUGUAGGCGGUCUUGCAAGUCAGAAGUGAAAUUCCUGAGCUCAACUCGGGCGCUGCUUCUGAAACUGCAGGACUUGAGUGCUGGAGGGGAUAGCGGAAUUCCUAGUGGAGCGGUAAAAUGCGCAGAUAUUAGGAAGAACACCGGUGGCGAAGGCGGCUAUCUGGACAGUAACUGACGCUGAGGCGCGAAAGCGUGGGGAGCAAACAGGAUUAGAUACCCUGGUAGUCCACGCCCUAAACGAUGAAUACUAGGUGUAGGGGAUAUCGACUCCCUCUGUGCCGCAGUUAACACAAUAAGUAUUCCGCCUGGGGAGUACGGCCGCAAGGUUGAAACUCAAAUGAAUUGACGGGG